UACGUAGGCAGCAAGCGUUGUUCGGAAUUACUGGGCGUAAAGCGAGUGUAGGCGGUUUGCCAAGUCCGUUGUGAAAUCUCCCGGCUCAACUGGGGGGGUGCGCCGGAAACUGGCAGGCUAGGGUGCGGUAGGGGAGAGUGGAAUUCCUGGUGUAGCGGUGAAAUGCGUAGAUAUCAGGAGGAACACCGGUGGCGAAGGCGGCUCUCUGGGCCGUUACUGACGC
rnacentral:rRNA from 1 species